CCUACGGGUGGCAGCAGUGAGGAAUAUUGGUCAAUGGACGAGAGUCUGAACCAGCCACGUAGCGUGAAGGAUGACUGCCCUAUGGGUUGUAAACUUCUUUUAUAUGGGAAUAAAAUGUUCCACGUGUGGGAUUUUGUAUGUCCCAUAUGAAUAAGGAUCGGCUAACUCCGUGCCAGCAGCCGCGGUAAUACGGAGGAUCCGAGCGUUAUCCGGAUUUAUUGGGUUUAAAGGGAGCGUAGGUGGAUUGUUAAGUCAGUUGUGAAAGUUUGCGGCUCAACCGUAAAAUUGCAGUUGAAACUGGCAGUCUUGAGUACAGUAGAGGUGAGCGGAAUGCGUGGUGUAGCGGUGAAAUGCUUAGAUAUCACGAAGAACUCCGAUUGCGAAGGCAGUUCACUGGACUGCAACUGACACUGAGGCUCGAAAGUGUGGGUAUCAAACAGGAUUAGAUACCCUUGUAGUC
rnacentral:rRNA from 1 species